CCUGUCAGCUAACUAAAGAAAAACUAGUGGCCAUCAUUACUUUAAGAAAUUGAAAAACUUUAAUUGUGUCCCCAAGUGGAGUCGCAAAAACCAUCAAGCGCUACAACACAACUGGCACACGAGGACCAACCCAGGCAAGGAAGACCAAGAGUAACCUCUGCUUCUGAAGACAAGUUCAUAUGAGUCACCAGCCUCAGAAAUCGCAAGUUAUCAGCAGCUCAGAUCAGAGGCCAGAUAAAUGCCACACAGAGUUCUAGCAGCAGACCCAUCUCUAGAACAACUGUUAAGAGGAGACUGCGUGAAUCAGGCCUUCAUGGUCAAAUAUCUGCCAGGAAACCACUGCUAAGGAGAGGCAACAAGCAGAAGAGAUUUUGUUUGGACCAAGAAACACAAGGAAUGGACAAUAGACCAGUCGUCUGAUGACUUCAAAUUUGAGAUCUUUGGUUCCAGCCGCCGUGUCUUAGAGACGCAGAAAAGGAAAUUCGCAACCAGGUUUUCCAAAGACUUUGAUCUGGACCUGAAACAACAAGAACUUGUGUUUUUAGAUGCUGUGUCCAGUCACAUACCAGUUGAACCAGUUAUUUUAAAUGAACUGACAAAUCUACACGAUCUUAUCAGGUUGGAAACAGACUUAAAAUGGAACCUAAUCUGUCUGUUCCAUAUACAGCAAAACUCUUAUGAAUAUCCAGAAGAAUAGCAUACCAACGCAUGGCGGAGUCCAGUUAAGGCAUUUUACAGCACCAUGACUGAUGACGAGUUGGACCAGUGUGCGAGAUGAAGUCACUCUGGUUGCCGAAUGGUGAAGGCAUUUCUGCUAGAUAGAGGAUUUAGAGUGCAGUAUAAUUGCAUCUGAGCUUCAAUGCAUCAUGGUGACACCAGUGGUGUCAUGUCCCAAAUGGUUCAUGUAGGAUGUAUUGGUUAAAGGACCUACUCAGCUCCAGGCAUCCAGUCUUUCUUUAAUUUAUGGACACCAACCAUACAUUUAUUUGGUAUGUUCUGUUUGAAGAUAAAAACAGGAUGCACAAUUCCCAAGAACUGACAUUUUCUGGUUCCACUGUUUAGCACUUAAAACAUUCAGGGAUCCAAGACCCCUAGUGAAAUCAGACCUUAUGCUUCUUCAGUCAUGAAGUCAUUGUUUUUUCCUUUCAGCUAUAACGUUGUCAUCUUUGGUGGCAUUAAUGGUUUUUCUUGCAAGGAAAGAGCAGUACUAAAUUGACCAUUUUUUGUCUUUAAAACUUUUCAGUGUCUCAUAGUGUUUGCGUUGCAUCAUACUCUAGGUAAUGUGCAAUGGGUUGCAAAAGUAUUUGACCCCCUUGAAUUGUCACAUUACAGCCACAAACAUGAAUCUAUUUUAUUGGAAUUCAAGGUGAAAGACCAAUACUACAGGGAGUGCAGAAUUAUUAGGCAAGUUGUAUUUUUGAGGAAUAAUUUUAUUAUUGAACAACAACCAUGUUCUCAAUGAACCCAAAAAACUCAUUAAUAUCAGCGACCAAUAUAGCCACCUUUCUUUACAAGGA
ensembl:lncRNA